GGUCGCGUGGCCCAAUGGCAAGGCGCUUGACUACGAUUUCUAUAGACAUCAAGAGAUUGCAGGUUCGAUCCCUGCCGCGAUCA
rnacentral:tRNA from 1 species